rnacentral:rRNA from 1 species
UACAGAGGUGGCAAGCGUUGUUCGGAAUUACUGGGCGUAAAGGGCGAGUAGGUGGCCAUCUAAGUCAGACGUGAAAUCCCCCGGCUUAACCUGGGAACUGCGUCUGAUACUGGAGGGCUUGAGGAUGGGAGAGGGAUGUAGAAUUCCAGGUGUAGCGGUGAAAUGCGUAGAUAUCUGGAGGAAUACCGGUGGCGAAGGCGGCAUCCUGGACCAAUAUUGACGCUGAGGAGCGAAAGUUAGGGGAGCAAACGGG